rnacentral:tRNA from 1 species
GCGAGGGUGGCGAAACUGGUAGACGCACCAGACUUAGGAUCUGACGCCUUAGGGCAUAGGGGUUCGACUCCCCUUCCUCGCACCA